rnacentral:rRNA from 1 species
GACGAACGCUGGCGGCGUGCUUAACACAUGCAAGUCGAACGGGAUCCGGGCUUUCGGGUUUGGUGAGAGUGGCGAACGGGUGAGUAACACGUGAGUAACCUGCCCCCUUCUUUGGGAUAACGUCGGGAAAUCGGCGCUAAUACUGGAUAUUCUUGCUGCAUCGCAUGGUGUGGUUUGGAAAGGGUUUCUGGUGGGGGAUGGGCUCGCGGCCUAUCAGCUUGUUGGUGGGGUGAUGGCCUACCAAGGCUUUGACGGGUAGCCGGCCUGAGAGGGUGUCCGGCCACACUGGGACUGAGACACGGCCCAGACUCCUACGGGAGGCAGCAGUGGGGAAUAUUGCACAAUGGGCGCAAGCCUGAUGCAGCGACGCCGCGUGAGGGAUGACGGCCUUCGGGUUGUAAACCUCUUUCAGUAUGGAACAAGGAUCCUUCUUUUGGGGGUUUGAGGGUACGUGCAGAAGAAGCGCCGGCUAACUACGUG